ACACGGGUAAGGAUCAAAGUUACAAACCAUUUUUAAAUGUGGUUGCAUCCGGAACCAAUCUUCUCUGGGUCGGAGAGCGCUCACUGAGAAAAGUGAUUAUGCUGCCAUCAGGAGGGAGCUCGAAUGAAGCCUGCGAUCCAGCUCUGGAGACGGCAGCGAGGGUUGGUGGAUCGCACACAGAAGUUGCCAAAGCUGCCUUUCCCUGGUCGACGAGGAGGAUACCGCACCCCUCUGGCUACGCCUGGAGAAGGCAGAUCUGGCCUGCCCAUAGCGCCCUGCUGGCUCCGCCCCUAGGUUCCGCC